CUGGCUCAGGAUGAACGCUAGCUACAGGCUUAACACAUGCAAGUCGAGGGGCAUCAGGGUCUGUGCUUGCACAGAUUGCUGGCGACCGGCGCACGGGUGAGUAACGCGUAUCCAACCUUCCCCCUUAGUAGAGGAUAGCCCGGCGAAAGUCGGAUUAAUACUCUAUGUUGUUCAAUGCGGACAUCUAAGUUGAACCAAAGGUUUACCGCUAAGGGAUGGGGGAUGCGUCUGAUUAGGUAGUAGGCGGGGUAACGGCCCACCUAGCCGACGAUCAGUAGGGGUUCUGAGAGGAAGGUCCCCCACAUUGGAACUGAGACACGGUCCAAACUCCUACGGGAGGCAGCAGUGAGGAAUAUUGGUCAAUGGGCGCGAGCCUGAACCAGCCAAGUAGCGUGCAGGAUGACGGCCCUAUGGGUUGUAAACUGCUUUUAUGCGGGGAUAAAGUGCACCACGUGUGGUGUUUUGUAGGUACCGCAUGAAUAAGGACCGGCUAAUUCCGUGCCAGCCGCGGC
rnacentral:rRNA from 1 species